rnacentral:tRNA from 1 species
GCCCCUGUGGUGAAAUGGUAGACGCGUCCGACUCAAAAUCGGAUUCCGCAAGGAGUGCUGGUUCGAGUCCGGCCAGGGGCACCA